CCAAGUUGUUCCAUUGUGAAUCUUCAAAAUCCAAAGCCAGUAGAAAUCAGGGAUUUUGCCUCUGUUGAUAGAUCAUAAAAAAAAUUAAUUACAGCUUGAACGGGCAAACCGAGGCCGCUUUUCCAUAUUUUUUACGUCUUCAAACUAAGCCAAAAACCAAUCACCAACGGGGUAUUUUGACUAAAGAUUUUCCCGUUAUGAACUUAUAACAUAGUCAUAUGUCUAAAUAAUCUGCUGCUGAUUGGAUUU